CCUGAGAAACCCAAAAGAUCGAAUGGGGAGAUUCAUCGUCAGCGACGUUGGCUUCCGUGUGGCUCGCGAUGGCCGGGGCUUCGGCUUCGCGUCACGCAGUCGCUGCGGUAUGUCCGGCGUCGUCGGCGUGCACUUCUCCCCUAGUAGGACGUCGCGACCCGUUGGGUGCCGGCCUACGGCCCGAUUGGUCGACUGUCGCGUCUCGUUCACGCGUGCACGCGGCAGACCAUCGGUUGCCCGGCCGGCUGCCCGGCGGUAUAGAUCGCUAUUACACGGUAUUGGGCCGCAUUAAGUGCGUCCUGGCUCGUCGGCAGGCUCGCCUCGCUCGGAUUUACGGACCUGGUGCCGUUGCCGGGCGCUUGGUGUGGCCGUUAGUCGACGAUGUCCUCGGACCGGCUCUUACAUUCGAACGGAUUUACCGGUCGGCGACGCUACUGCUUUGGGUACUUUC
rnacentral:rRNA from 1 species